rnacentral:lncRNA from 1 species
GAAACAAAUUAUGAUUUCAUAAAGAAAAAUAUUUGAUAAUUGUUAUCAUAUCACUUAUAGAUCAUUCGAUCUUAUCAUUCAUCAUUGCAUUCAAAUGCAUGAACAUUAAUUAUUAUCUACGAAAAACGUGUGAUUGCGUUGUUUGUUUUUAAUCACAGUUUUGUUAUACUAUUUUCGGUUAUCAUUUUUUCUCUCGGAUGUACCAACGAGAGAUAAGAACUUGCUCUAGUAAACGUACCGAGCGAGCUGAUCUAUUUUGGUGUGUGUGAGAAACGUUCGCAUCGAAGUGCGGUCAUUCCACGAAAAGAAGCCAGCGAAUGGAGUUAUUACCCGUUGGACUACAAUCACAAGCAGAUACAUAAUGAUUCGUCUUCGAUUUAGCAGGGACCAGUCGGGCGACAUGUCCAAGGGGAAGGGCUCGCAACACGUAGCCCAAUGGGACAAACACAGUAAGUGCACAAAUAUCUUUCAUAGCUUUAUUUCCGACAUCUGUGAAGGCUUAUUACUUUGAUUAAGCUGUUUACGACUAUUUAUAGAAACAAAGUCCAUAAUGAUUUGUGAGGAGGGAAGUAAACAUUGUUUGACGUGUGUUUUAGACAGUGCCUGGAUUGUGAAGAUAAGCCAGAACUUGUGAUGUUUAUGGGUAUGUGUGUUUUGUUUGGCAGGGUAUCUGUCUCACUGUCUGCAUGUGAGAUUGGACUUUAUAUAUUUAUCACAAUAAAUGUGAUAAUCUUUUGAUGCCUUCGCAUAAUCUAUAUUUGUCAAACAUGUACAGAACAUAUUUCACGAAUGUGUCGUAUUUAUAGAACAAGUUUAUGUAAACAAGCUUGUCUCCCGUCGUGUUUGAGACAUAACCGUGAUAAUAAUAUUAUGAAGGCAGUAAUGUGCGCCGAACCUCGAUAAUCGAUGUAAUUGGACACAAUUCGACAAAGCUCAAGAACGUUCUUCUCUCAUGACGAACACCUGAACAGAACACUUAUCAAGUUUUGUUAUCUUAUUUUUGUCUAGGGUGUCCUCGUUAGAACUACCCCCGAGUAGACAUGUAUACGUCUUCUAAAAGUUGGAGAGUUAAACUCCUUUUUUGUCAGAAUAAUUAUGUUAGUAAUGUUUGAAACCUAUUCUAAUACUUUGAGAAAGAAACAGACGAUAUGAAUGCAAGAUUACUCAUUUGCAACAAAGUUUUGUUAUGAUUAGUACUGUUGCUCAUGCUAUUAUAUAUAAUUCCUGUAGAUUGUAGAAGAUGAUGUCAAAGUUAGACAUGGGUGUAUGCGGAUAUACUUCGUCAUAUACAUUGUGCUCGGGCGCAGAGAUUUUGUUGACUAGAGUUCUCGACGCAAUCCCAUCUUUCAAUUUGCUUAACUCUCUGAAAUGUAAGCUAUCAUGUCAAAACGAAAUCAAUAAAAAGUAUUGUAUGCAACAAUAUACCGUGUCAUCCUUAAAACAAAAUCCUCGGUAAAACAAUUCUGCUUUGCCCAAUAUAUUUUGUAAAACAUGCAGGAUCAGCUCUGUACAUCGCUUAACAUGUCAGCGAUAACAUUAAACAAAUCACGCAGCAUGAGGAAAUGAUUGUUCUCUCUUUUCUCUAAACUAAUAAUAAUUUUAGUCGGUAAUGUCUUUUUUUUUAAACACUUGGGGAGGAAUGGAGGCAUUUUGUAACACAGGAUAUGACUAUUAACUUAUAAACCUUAUAAGUCUUAUUUUGAUUCCGUUUUUUUAACCACAUUUUAAUCCGUCAUGGCUACGGGGAGUCUUAUUUCACCAUGCAUUGGUGAGAUAAUAGUGAAGCCACAGAAACUGUUGUUCUUAGGUGUUUUUUUGAAUGACGGUUUCCGGAGAUCGGGUACCGAGCCGGUACCUUCCUUCCGGUGCAAAUGAGGCCAUAUUUCUAGCCGGUAACCCGGUCACACCGACAAGACCGACUCCAGAUAGAUGGUAGAGCGAACUGAAAUAUUACAUUACCCCAAAUGGGCAAUAUUCUGUCGGUUAUCGGUCGAUUUGUGGUCUGGUUGGCGGUGUGACAGAGGUAAGCAUAUUAUACUAAUAUUACAAUGUUGCAUUCCCAAUACAUUGAGUAUGCAGUAUACUUAGGUGUGGAAAUGAAUGCUUUGGGAUAGGGCAUGGACAUCAAUUUCAUUUUUCAUACCAUUUUCUAUUAUAGUAACAACUUUCUACGUUGGCGUACACUGAAUAUCAUGCUCUUAAUACACAUGUUAUUUCUAUGUAUUUUUUAAAAGUGAAUAUUGCAUUUACCGUUACACAUCAUAAGAAUAUACUAGUAGACGCAGUAGUAUUAAUUGGUGGUACAGUGAUAGCAGUAUUAUUAUUAUUAUUAUUAGUAGUAGUAGUAGUAGUAGUAGUAGUAGUAGUAGUAGUAGCAUUAGUAAUGAUAGUUGUAGUAUUAGUAGUAGUAGUAGUAUUAGUAGCAGCAGCGACAGAAGCAGGCUGCAUUUGCCGCAACACCCAGAGUCUGUAAUUUCCAUGCUAAAACUAUAAUUGGCUUGGAUGCUUGACGACCCCCCCCCCCCCC